UACAGAGGGGGCAAGCGUUAUUCGGAAUUAUUGGGCGUAAAGGGCGCGUAGGCGGCUUUGCAAGUGACGGGUGAAAUCCCUCGGCUUAACCGAGGAACUGCCUGUCAAACUGCAUGGCUUGAGACUGGGAGAGGUGAGUGGAAUUCCUAGUGUAGCGGUGAAAUGCGUAGAUAUUGGGAGGAACACCAGUGGCGAAGGCGGCUCACUGGGACGGUACUGACGCUGAGACGCGAAAGCGUGGGGAGCGAACAGG
rnacentral:rRNA from 1 species